rnacentral:tRNA from 5 species
GACAGAAGCCGGGAUAGCU